rnacentral:lncRNA from 1 species
CUAGCUAUGAAAUAAUACGAAACAAUCGUUGUACUUUAAAACUUUAAUUUAUUAAAGAACGAUAUUUAUAUACUUUUAUAUUUAACACUUUCUUUCACAUCUGGAUUCGAAAUUUUUUAUAAAGUUCAUAACAUGGACUUGAAUUAAAUGAAAUAAAAAUUAAUAAUAUUAGGAGUUUAGUGUGACUCGAACUCAUAACCUCUUAUUCUGAUACUAUGUGAAACCUUUGAUCUCAGACGAAUAAUUCGCCUUACGGGGAAUUGAGCAAAAUUGUAGUUGAAAGAAAAUAAAAUUCUAGAAGGGCUUUAAUAUCAUAUGAAAUAAUACGAAACAAUCGUUAUACUAUAAAAAUUUAAGCUGUCAGGGAACAGUUUUUAUAUGCUUUUAUAUUUAACACUAGCAAAUUUUAGAUUUUUUGAAUUGAUUCUAAAAGUUAAU